GCCUGGGUGGCUCAGUUGGUUGAGCGUCUGACUUUGGCUCAGGUCAUGAUCUCACUGCUUGUGGGGUUGAGCCCCACUUUGGGCU
rnacentral:tRNA from 1 species